GCCUCAAUUAUAUUAUUUGAGGUAUUACCUGCUCAAUGCGAGAGUAAAUAGCCGCAGUAUUCUGACUGUGCAAAGGUAGCAUAAUAAUUUGGCCUUUAAUUGGGGUCUAGAAUGAAUGGUUUGACGAGGGUUUGACUGUCUCGUAAUUAGAGUAAUUGAAAUUGAAUUGUGUGUAAAAAUGCAUACAUGAGAGAGAGGGACGAGAAGACCCUAUAGAUCUUUAAAGGAUUAGUUAAGAAUGAAUAUUUAAUUAUUUCUUUUUAUUUGGGGAGAAUCUUGAAAUUUUUAAACUUCGGUUAAUAAUAAAAAUUAAAUUUUGAUCUUUGAUCCACUAUUAUAGUGAAAAAAUGAAAAAGUUACCUUAGGGAUAACAGGACAAUGAUUUCUCAGAAGAUCUUAUUUUGAGAAACGUUUGUUACCUCGAUGUUGAAUUAAGUUAUCUCAUUNNGGCGNAAGUUCUUNAAGU
rnacentral:rRNA from 1 species